rnacentral:tRNA from 1 species
GGAGAGGUGGCCGAGUGGCUGAAGGCACUCGCCUGCUAAGCGAGUAACGGGGGUCAACCCCGUUCGCGGGUUCGAAUCCCGCCCUCUCCGC